AGUUUGAUCCUGGCUCAGAUUGAACGCUGGCGGCAUGCCUUACACAUGCAAGUCGAACGGUAACGCGGGGCAACCUGGCGACGAGUGGCGAACGGGUGAGUAAUGUAUCGGAACGUGCCCAGUUGUGGGGGAUAACUGCUCGAAAGAGCAGCUAAUACCGCAUACGACCUGAGGGUGAAAGCGGGGGAUCGCAAGACCUCGCGCAAUUGGAGCGGCCGAUAUCAGAUUAGGUAGUUGGUGG
rnacentral:rRNA from 1 species